UCCGGAAUUAUUGGGCGUAAAGAGCUCGUAGGCGGUUUGUCGCGUCUGCCGUGAAAGUCCGGGGCUCAACUCCGGAUCUGCGGUGGGUACGGGCAGACUAGAGUGAUGUAGGGGAGACUGGAAUUCCUGGUGUAGCGGUGAAAUGCGCAGAUAUCAGGAGGAACACCGAUGGCGAAGGCAGGUCUCUGGGCAUUAACUGACGCUGAGGAGCGAAAGCAUGGGGAGCGAACAGGAUUAGAUACCCUGGUAGUCCAUGCCGUAAACGUUGGGCACUAGGUGUGGGGGACAUUCCACGUUUUCCGCGCCGUAGCUAACGCAUUAAGUGCCCCGCCUGGGGAGUACGGCCGCAAGGCUAAAACUCAAAGGAAUUGACGGGGGCCCGCACAAGCGGCGGAGCAUGCGGAUUAAUUCGAUGCAACGCGAAGAACCUUACCAAGGCUUGACAUGGGCCGGACCGGGCUGGAAACAGUCCUUCCCCUUUGGGGCCGGUUCACAGGUGGUGCAUGGUUGUCGUCAGCUCGUGUCGUGAGAUGUUGGGUUAAGUCCCGCAACGAGCGCAACCCUCGUUCCAUGUUGCCAGCGCGUAAUGGCGGGGACUCAUGGGAGACUGCCGGGGUCAACUCGGAGGAAGGUGGGGACGACGUCAAAUCAUCAUGCCCCUUAUGUCUUGGGCUUCACGCAUGCUACAAUGGCCGGUACAAAGGGUUGCGAUACUGUGAGGUGGAGCUAAUCCCAAAAAGCCGGUCUCAGUUCGGAUUGGGGUCUGCAACUCGACCCCAUGAAGUCGGAGUCGCUAGUAAUCGCAGAUCAGCAACGCUGCGGUGAAUACGUUCCCGGGCCUUGUACACACCGCCCGUCAAGUCACGAAAGUUGGUAACACCCGAAGCC
rnacentral:rRNA from 1 species